rnacentral:rRNA from 1 species
UUAAAUUAGUAAGGGCGCAUGGUGGAUGCCUUGGCACUAGAAGCUGAAGAAGGACGUGACAAACAACGAUAUGCUUCGGGGAGUAGUAAGUAUACUUUGAUCCGGAGAUUUCCGAAUGGGGGAACCCACUAGUAAGAAACUACUAGUAUCAUAAAGCGAAUACAUAACUUUAUAGAGAGCAACCCGGUGAACUGAAACAUCUAAGUAACCGGAGGAGAAGAAAGAAAGCAAUCGAUUCCCUAAGUAGUGGCGAGCGAAAGGGGAACAGCCCAAACCAAUCUUCGGAUUGGGGUUAAAGGACUCCAUAAGUAGAGAAGAAAGUCUUAAUAUAGUUGAAGUCGUUGGGAAGCGAUACCGAAGAAGGUGAUAGUCCUGUAGGCGAAAUAUUAAGAACUCGAAGGAGAAUCCUGAGUACAAUGGGACACGAGAAAUCCUGUUGGAAGUAACGGGGACCAUCCCGUAAGGCUAAAUACUCUCUAGUGACCGAUAGUGAACAAGUACCGUGAGGGAAAGGUGAAAAGAACCCCGGGAGGGGAGUGAAAUAGAAUACUGAAACCAUGUGCUUACAAGAAGUCAAAGCACAUUAAAGUGUAAUGGCGUGCCUUUUGCAGAAUGAACCGGCGAGUUAAUGUUGCAUGCGAGGUUAAGUAGAAGAUACGGAGCCGAAGCGAAAGCGAGUCUUAAUAGGGCGAGUUAGUAUGUAGUAUUAGACCCGAAACCGAGUGAUCUAGCCAUGAGCAGAUUGAAGUUUGGGUAAAACCAAAUGGAGGAUCGUACCGACGUACCCGGAAACGUGCGCGGAUGACUUGUGGCUAGCGGUGAAAUUCCAAUCGAACUCGGAUAUAGCUGGUUCUCCCCGAAAUAGGUUUAGGCCUAGCCUCGAGGUAGAGAUAUGUGAAGGUAGAGCACUGAAUGUCCGAUGGCCCCGUCUAGGGGUACUGAAUGCAAUCAAACUCCGAAUGUCAUGUAUUAUACUCGGGAGUCAGCGUGCGGGUGAUAACGUCCGUACGCGAAAGGAAAAGAGUCCAAGAUCGCCAAUUAAGGUCCCAAAAUCUGUACUAAGUGGGAAAGGAUGUGGAGUUGUCAAAACAGCUAGGAGGUUGGCUCAGAAGCAGCCAUCCUUUAAAGAGUGCGUAAUAGCUCACUAGUCGAGUGACACUGCGCCGAAGAUGUACCGGGGCUAAGUACAGUACCGAAGUUGCGGAUUCAUGCAUAAGCAUGAGUGGUAGGGGAGCGUUCUAACAGCGGAGAAGGUUUACCGGAAGGAGAGCUGGAGCGGUUAGAAGUGAGAAUGCCGGUGUGAGUAGCGCAAGCUGGGUGAGAAUCCCGGCCACCGUUUGCCUAAGGGUUCCUGGGGAAGGUUCGUCCUCCCAGGGUUAGUCGGGUCCUAAGACGAGGCUGAAAAGCGUAGCCGAUGGACAACAGGUUUAUAUUCCUGUACUAUCUGUAUAACUGAAGGAAUGACGAAGAAGGCUAUGGAGAUCCAGUUAAUGGAUUCUGGUCUAAGCACAAAGGUUUAUAAAAAAGGAAAUCUGUUUAUAGAGCAACUGAAGUGUGAUGGGGAAGGAGUUAGAGAUAACUCCGAACUUUCCAGACGCCAAGCUUCCAAGAAAAGUUUCUAGGGCUAAUUAUACAGGUACCCGUACCGAGAACCGACACAGGUGGGCAAGGAGAGUAUCCUAAGGUGAGCGAGAGAACUAUGGUUAAGGAACUCGGCAAAAUGACCCCGUAACUUCGGGAUAAGGGGUGGUCAAGCGAUUGACCCGCAGUAAAGAGGCCCAGGCAACUGUUUACCAAAAACACAGGUUUCUGCAAAAGCGCAAGCUGAAGUAUAGGAGCUGACGCCUGCCCAGUGCUGGAAGGUUAAUAGGAGAGCUUAGAUGUGACGAAAGUCGAUAGCAUCGAAGGUUCGAAUUGAAGCCCCAGUGAACGGCGGCCGUAACUAUAACGGUCCUAAGGUAGCGAAAUUCCUUGUCAGGUAAGUUCUGACCCGCACGAAAGGCGUAAUGAUCUGGGUACUGUCUCAACCAUAGACUCGGUGAAAUCUUAUUACCUGUGAAAAUGCAGGUUACCCGCGACUGGACGAGAAGACCCCAUGGAGCUUUACUAUAGCUUGAUAUUGAGGUUUGGUAAGUUAUGUAGAGAAUAGGUGGGAGACUGAGAGAUAUCGGCGCCAGCUGAUAAGGAGUCAACAAUGGAAUACCACCCUUAACUUAUUGAACUUCUAACCUAGGUCCAUAAUCUGGAUCAGGGACAGUGUCUGGUGGGUAGUUUGACUGGGGCGGUCGCCUCCCAAAAAGUAACGGAGGCGCCCAAUGGUUCCCUCAGAAUGGUUGGAAAUCAUUCGAAGAGCGUAAAGGUAUAAGGGAGCUUAACUGCGAGACCAACAAGUCGAGCAGAUACGAAAGUAGGGCUUAGUGAUCAGACGAUGCAGAAUGGAAUGGUCGUCGCUUAACGGAUAAAAGUUACCCUGGGGAUAACAGGCUGAUGCCACCCAAUAGUUCACAUAGACGGUGGCGUUUGGCACCUCGAUGUCGGCUCGUCACAUCCUGGAGGUGAAGUCGCUUCCAAGGGUUGGGCUGUUCGCCCAUUAAAGUGGCACGCGAGCUGGGUUCAGAACGUCGUGAGACAGUUCGGUCCCUAUCCGUCGUGGGCGUAGGAAAAUUGAAGAGAUCUGUCCUUAGUACGAGAGGACCGGGACGGACCUACCUCUGGUGUAUCUGUUGUCACGCCAGUGGCAGCGCAGAGUAGCUAUGUAGGGAAUGGAUAACCGCUGAAAGCAUCUAAGCGGGAAGCCAACUUUAAGAUGAGUUUUCCCAUUAUUAAUUAAGUAAGAUCCCUCAAAGACGAUGAGGUUGAUAGGCUGGAGAUGGAAGCGUAGCGAUACGUUGAGUUGACCAGUACUAAUCGAUCGAGGAUUUAAUCAU